rnacentral:lncRNA from 1 species
UUUUUCGCGUUUGUUAAGAGAUCAUGAAUUUGUGGCCUCCGCGUGUGCUUUGCGUGACCCUGUACCACAGCACACCAAACCCCGGCCUGGAAAAUUUCCACCCUUGGCUCAAAAAUGUUGGAAUCCCUGGCACUCUGGAACAAGAAAAGCUUCUCCGACCAAGAAUGUAUUAAAGAGCUCCAUACCUUUCUUCGCUCUCGCUCGCGCUUCUCAUUCGUUGUCUCUGUCUCCCUCGCGAGCAACGAUGAGCUCUUCUUAAGCGCGCCAUCGCUUGGCUCUCCGGCAAAUCUCCCUGGAGGACGGAUCAUCAAGAACAGAGAAAGGAAAAGAGAAGGAAGUUAAAGAAAAUGUGCGUACCGCUUGCUUGCUUGCUUUGCUUUGCUUUGCUUGUUCAUAUAAAUCUUUCCUCGACUUGUUUCGAAAGACGCCUUCGCUGACUUUAGACGUUGGAAACUCCCGGAUCAGGC